UACAUACUCCCCCCGUCCGAAAAUACUUGUCAUCAAAAUGGAUAAAAAGGGAUGUAUCUAGAACUAAAAUACAUCUAGAUACAUCUCAUUUUAUCCAUUUUUGAUGACAAGUAUUUCCAGACGGAGGGAGUAUAAU
rfam:Triticum urartu cultivar G1812 contig6465, whole genome shotgun sequence.